rnacentral:rRNA from 1 species
AUUGGAGUCUGCAACUCGACUCCAUGAAGUCGGAAUCGCUAGUAAUCGUGGAUCAGAAUGCCACGGUGAAUACGUUCCCGGGCCUUGUACACACCGCCCGUCACACCAUGGGAGUGGGUUGCAAAAGAAGUAGGUAGCUUAACCUUCGGGAGGGCGCUUACCACUUUGUGAUUCAUGACUGGGGUGAAGUCGUAACAAGGUAACCGUAGGGGAACCUGCGGUUGGAUCACCUCCUUACCUGAAAGAA